CCUACGGGAGGCAGCAGUAGGGGAUAUUGCACAAUGAGGGAAACCCUGAUGCAGCGACGCCGCGUGGGUGAAGAAGCGCCUCGGCGCGUAAAGCCCUGUCAGCAGGGAAGAAAAUGACGGUACCUGAAGAAGAAGCCCCGGCUGACUACGUGCCAGCAGCCGCGGUAAUACGAAGGGGGCAAGCGUGAUCCGGAUUUACUGGGGGGAAAGGGGGCGCAGACGGCGAUGCAAGCCAGGAGUGAAAGCCCGGGGCCCAACCCCGGGACUGCUCUUGGAACUGGGUGGCUAGAGUGCAGGAGGGGCAGGCGGAAUUCCUGGUGUAGCGGUGAAAUGCGUAGAUAUCAGGAGGAACACCGGUGGCGAAGGCGGCCUGCUGGACUGCAACUGACGUUGAGGCACGAAAGCGUGGGGAGCAAACAGGAUUAGAUACCCUAGUAGUC
rnacentral:rRNA from 1 species